rnacentral:rRNA from 1 species
UACGAGGGGGGCAAGCGUUGUUCGGAAUUAUUGGGCGUAAAGGGUGUGUAGGUGGUUUGGUAAGUCGUGUGUGAAAUCUUCAGGCUCAACCUGAAGUCUGCACACGAAACUGCCGGGCUUGAGUAUGGGAGAGGUGAGUGGAAUUCCUGGUGUAGCGGUGAAAUGCGUAGAUAUCAGGAGGAACACCUGUGGCGAAAGCGGCUCACUGGACCAUUACUGACACUGAAACACGAAAGCUAGGGGAGCAAACAGG